UACGUAGGGGGCAAGCGUUGUCCGGAAUCAUUGGGCGUAAAGAGCGUGUAGGCGGUCCGGUAAGUCGGCUGUGAAAGUCCAGGGCUCAACCCUGGGAUGCCGGUCGAUACUGCCGGACUAGAGUUCGGAAGAGGCGAGUGGAAUUCCCGGUGUAGCGGUGAAAUGCGCAGAUAUCAGGAGGAACACCAAUGGCGAAGGCAGCUCGCUGGGACGUUACUGACGCUGAGACGCGAAAGCGUGGGGAGCAAACAGG
rnacentral:rRNA from 1 species